GAGGAAUAUUGGUCAAUGGGCGCAAGCCUGAACCAGCCAUCCCGCGUGCAGGAAGACGGCCCUAUGGGUUGUAAACUGCUUUUCCAGGGGGAGAAACUUACGUACGCGUUACGUGACUGACGGUACCCUGGGAAUAAGCAUCGGCUAACUCCGUGCCAGCAGCCGCGGUAAUACGGAGGAUGCAAGCGUUAUCCGGAUUCAUUGGGUUUAAAGGGUGCGUAGGCGGACUAUUAAGUCAGUGGUGAAAUCCUGCAGCUCAACUGUAGAACUGCCGUUGAUACUGAUAGUCUUGAGUUUGGUUAAGGUAGGCGGAAUGUGUAAUGUAGCGGUGAAAUGCUUAGAUAUUGCACAGAACACCGAUUGCGUAGGCAGCUUACUGAGCCGACACUGACGCUGAGGCACGAAAGCGUGGGGAUCGAACAG
rnacentral:rRNA from 1 species